GGGAGCGUAGCUCAGAUGGUAGAGCUCUCGCUUAGCCUGCGAGAGGAACGGGGAUUGAUACACCGCGCCUCCA
rnacentral:tRNA from 1 species